GGGUGUUUUCGGCUCUUUGGUUGGAUUGUUGCCUUCAUCACAUUUCCUGUUUACAUUCUCUAUUCUAAUUCAUAUUGCAUUCAAUUAGUUCUGCCAUUUGAGUCUGACCAAUUUUUUUCAAAGGUAAAUACACCUUCUCAUGGAAUACUAAUGUUGAAAUAAGAAACAAAAUUAAAUAAAUGCCUGUGCUUUAAUAUGAUGCUAGCAUGUUUCAUGAAUCAAUUUGCAAAAUAUAUCAUUAACAAAUACACUAAAGUAAUGCUUACAUCUUUCAUGAAUUAAUUUGUAAAAUACAUAAUUAACAAAUAUAGUAAAGUAAUGAUGAAAUCACUUGAAUAAAAUAUACUUUGGUUCCCAAAAUACAGAAACUAUUUACUAAUAAUAAUAACUACAACAUCUUCAAUAAACAUUACAAUUGUUGACAAGUACAAAUUCAUAUAACAGUUCAAUUUAAUAAGGAACAAAAAUUACUACAUUUGUAUUAAUUAGCAAAACCACAGAACAUUAAAAUAUGUCAAUGACAGACUGUUAAUACAAAGCACCAAUUUACUUAUUAAUCAAUUUAUAAAAUAUCACACUAGCUACUAUCUAAAGUGGAUUGUUAAAUAUGAAAUUAAUGAAAGGAACAUUUUACAAGAUAAAAUUAAUGAAUGCGUUUUAUUUUCUUAUUAAUACAUUCAACAUGUUCAAACAAAGAAACGAAAAGAUGAAAAGUUGAUGGAUGGCUGUUUAACUCCUGGUGGCAAAUUAAAUGCAAUUUAGGAUUGGAACAUGUCAAUGUAAUAAAAAUAUGAACCCUGUCUGUUUUUACUACACUGACAUUUUAAAUGUACUAGUUAACAAGGUAACCUUACUUUUACACGUAAUUCUGACAGGGUUCUUUCUCAUAAAUGCUGCAUGCUAAGCAGAGAGCAUCAAAUAUACAAAUUUAGAUGUUUUUGGUUUUCCUUGAGAUUUAAAUUGAACCUCACCCACCCCCCCCCCCCCCCCCCCCCCCCCCCAAACUAUUCUAAAUUUUAUAUAAGUGAACAUUCCUUAGCGAGGAGUUGAGCUUUAUAACAUCUCAAGGUUAAGGAUUAAAGAAGCAUAUCUGGUGAAUGCAGAAUGGCACAUUGAUUAAACACUGUUUUAUUAAUGUAACAUAACUUGACUAGUAAAUAACUAGCAAAUAGACCUAAUUAAAUGUCAAAUAUGAUAUUAUUCAGGCAAGAACAUCACACACCGAAUGUUUAGUAAAAAUAAACACAAUCUGGCUUUUAUAUGUCACUUCAAAUUAAACAAAUACUUUUACAAAAACAUAUAUAUGAGCAUCUUUGAUGUACAUGAUACAUGAAUGAAUAAACAUUCAAUAUUAUUUUACUUUGCUUCGAACCAAAAAACAGAAUCACUCAAUAUUAAUCAAUUGUUAAAUGUUGGUACACCAGGGAGGACUCUUUUUUUUUAUAUCUGAUAUCUGGAAAUGCAAUUGUAUAGGUUCAUUACAGAUAGCUUAAAUCCUGUAUGGUGUGAGUGAAAUGUUUAAGUACAUGUAUGUUGAUUUGAUUAUUGCUGUCAUCUUUAUUUUCAAAAGAAAAAGACAUACUAUAAAUUCAGAAAUUAAAGCUAGAUUUUUAUUACUGAAAAGAAUGUGGUCGGGUGAGAAUUGUAAUAAUAGUUACUCACAUUCUGAUACUUGGUGCAAAUAUCUGUAUGCAGAUUUUCAAAAAAUCACAAUUAUUAAUCUUGCAUUUAUGUUAUUCUUCGAAAAUCGCAAUAAUAAAUGUGCAACAAUAAUUUUUAAAUUUACAUUUUUUUGAGGAUGCAAUAGUUGCCAACAUGUAUAACACCAAAAGCACUGUUUUUGUCAUUAGUCUGAUAUUAAAGAUGUUAUAGCCUCAUCGGUGGUACAUGUAUAAUGCUUUUCUUAAACAUAUAUCUGUAAGCUUGUCUAUCAUUUAAGAUGUCUAGUCUUCUGGUUUCUGCUGUUUCACCAAUGUUCACUCAAAUAAAAUCCUUUUGUUAAUGUUUUUGCAAGAAGUUUUAUUGAAUUCCUUUUUAAAUGGUUUAGGAGUUUUACUAAUAGGGUCAACAUUAUGAAUAAUCAAAAUGAAAUUUCACUUUCAAUCAUUCGAAGACCUUGUGAUACAUAAAAUUACUUUGCUUCAUGCACAUCUUCAUAUAAAAGGUACUUUACUUUGUGUGAUGUUUUAUCUAUAUCAAACAGUUAUGAGGAGUAGCACUUGCAAGGUCAGUUUCAUCAGAGAAAUCAAUGACAAAUGAAUUGUCUCCCCUUCACAUUGUUUUGGUUCAUGAAUAUUUUUACAGGUUAUGUAUCUUCAAGUAGACAUUUAAUUGAAAUUGAUCAACAGUUGAGUAAAUAUUACACUGAAUUUGAUUAUUUUUUCUUCAUGUUGUUUGAUCACAAUUAAGUAUAUUUGUACAAAUCUUUGAACGGUGGCAAUAUUUGAUUAAAAAUCAUGAUCCUCCCCAAAAAUUCUACAAAAGCUAAGGCGUUACAAAUGUAUUGUCCAAAAGUUUAGUAAACAUUACUAUUAUAAAAAUGUACCAAUUUACUAUUAUCAGAUUUUUUCCAGAAUAUUAAUCUUAUAAUAUUUUGUUUAUAUAAACAUCAUUGCAUCUCAUAGAAAAACCCAUGAACAUAAAAUAUAAGAAAAAUACAAGCAGAUUCAUUUUACCUUUGAUUGAAUGAACAAAAACUUAUGUAUAAAAAGAUGUUGAAAUAUAUUGAUAUUAAACUUUAAUGGUGGGUUAUUUCAAUAUCAAACACUAAAAGAUAUAAAAGUACUUACAAAAAUUAUAAGUUAUAACAUUUCUUCUUAAUCAUGUUGAUAGUACAAUUUGGUAAAUGUACUUUAAGUUCAUUAUUUAUAUUGGUACUGAUUUACAUUUGAUUUUUUUAUGAAGGCAAAAAACAAUAAAUUUAAGUAUUCCACAAAGUACAAAUUUCAAAUAUUAAAGCUUGUAUGACAAAAAAUGUAUGAAGAUUUUUUUAAAUCACAAAAGCAGGCAUCCCAAAAAAUAUCCCUGUCCCCUAAUCCAUGAAAAUUGGUUGACAUGGCAUGCAUGAGAACAUAUGAAUUCACAGUAAUACAAAGAUGAAAAUAUAAUACAUGAGGAAUAUUUCAGUCUCUUUUUAAAAAAGACUGACUUGAUAGUUUCUUACAAACUGUUGAACAUAUAUUACCAACCACUAGGUCUUGAUUUGUAGUUUUCAAGAUUUUCACAAAAUUACAAUUUUGACUUAAAGUGAUUGCUAAAUAAACAUGAUCACAAUUGUAAACAAGGACAAAUUCAUAUAAGUAACAAUUUAAUUUAAGAAAAACAAAAUGUACACCACAGAACAUUAAAAAUAUUUCCAUGUUAAUACAAAACACUAUUACUUAUUAAUCAAUUUAUAAGAAUAUCACACUAGCUUCUAUCUAAAGUGGAUUGUUAAAUAUGAAAUUAAUGAAAGGAACAAUAUAUUAGAUCAAAUUAAUCAAUGCUAUUUUAUUAUUUAUUACAUUCAACCAAAAGAUACAAAAAAGAUGAAGAUGUUGAUGAAACUAACUUCUGGUGACAAAUCAAAUGCAAUUUAGGAUGGGAGCAUGUCAAUGAAAUAAGAAUAUAAACCUUGCCUUGUCAACUUAAAUGAACUAGUUUACAAAGUAACCCUACCAUUACACAUUAUUCUGAUAGGGUUCUUUCUCUUAUAUGCUGCAUACUAAGCAGAAAGGCUACAAAUAAAAAUGAAGAUAUUUUUUUGUUUUCACUCAAGAUUUGGAUUGAACACAUACAGCCCACCUCUCCUCCCCCACUCCUUUUCCCUCUUUGCAUUCCUAGUCAAUCAAGAUAGGAGUCAAAUGCACCUGCAAAAAGUUGUCAACCUAGAGAUAGAUCCUUUUGGAAAGAAUGAAAGUCUUCCCAAACUAUUCAAGUUCUGUAUAAGUGAACAUCCCUUGUAUAAGGGGGUGUUGAUUUUUAAACCAUCACAAGAAAAAGGAUAAAAAAAGCUUAUCUGGUGAAUGCAGAAUGGCACGUUGAUUUAACACCGUUUUAUUAAGGUUACAUAACUUGACUAGCAUAUCGACCUGAUUGAAUGUCAAAUAUGAUAUUAUUCAGGCAAGAACAUCACACACUGAAUGUUAAGUAAAAAAAUAAACACAAACUGGUUUAUAGCACUUUAAAAUAUGACCGGUAACAAAUAAUAGUUAUGCUAAUUUAUGCGUAGAUUGAUUGGUGUUUGCAAUAAAGCGCCUCACCACAAAAGGCACAAGCUUAUUCAAAAAUGUAUACAAUAUCAAAGUACUGUUUUCUAUUAGAAAAAAGCUCCUUUAAUAUAUUAGGGAUUUAAGUUGAAAGUGAAAUUUCUU
rnacentral:lncRNA from 1 species